rnacentral:rRNA from 1 species
AUUGAACGCUGGCGGCAGGCUUAACACAUGCAAGUCGAACGAGUGGCGGACGGGUGAGUAAUGCUUGGGAAUCUAGCUUAUGGAGGGGGAUAACUACGGGAAACUGUAGCUAAUACCGCGUACCAUAGGAUGAGCCCAAGUGGGAUUAGGUAGUUGGUGGGGUAAUGGCUCACCAAGCGGACGACCGCUAGCUGGUCUGAGAGGAUGACCAGCCAAACGGGAACUGAGACACGGCCCAGACCCCUCCGGGAGGCAGCAGUGGGGAAUAUUGCGAAAGGGGGGAAACCUGACGCAGCCAGGCCGCGGGAAUGAAGAGGGCCUUCGGGUUGUAAAGUUCUUUCGGUAGCGAGGCGUUAACGACAGAAGAAGCACCGGCUAACUCCGUGCCAGCAGCCGCGGUAAUAC